ACCAGCGUCUGUUGUUUCCUGAUUUGUUCAUUUUAGCCACUCUGACCGAAUGAAAGACUGGACUGUCUCUGAGAAGAAUGAGCUGGGAGUCAGUCUAGUCAUCAGGACCACCAUAGACCUAUUACCGAGAGCUUCUUUGCACGAGUGACAUGAAUUCCGGGCAAUUAAAAAGGACAUGAAUUUCAAGACACUUAGGAAGAGGCUCUGCUUUCUAAUAGCUCUGCAUGUGACCAAGUGUAGUUCCUGAGAAAAGCACUGCAGAUUGGAAACCUCCACCUUAGGAGAUGGUGGAGUUAUUGCCAUUUUCUAUUGUUUUACAAUAUUAUUGCAAGGAAACCACAUUAGGGGACUUGAUUUUGGCGGCUGAAGUGCUGUAUGUGGAUAUAACAACUUAAUAAAAGAGCAUAGAAGGAUUCUCUUGCACCGGAUGCGUGUCUUUAUUUUGCGUUUCCUCAAAGAUGGGCUUUGAGUCUUGUUAGUAAGGCCUCAACCUUUGUCACAUUGAGUGAGGGAGAUGUGGCCCAGGUGCCCAGAGCUCUGAAGGUCACAGAGAGGACUCCCUUCCAGAGGGAGGGGAACUCCACAGGGAAGGCCUUCCACAUGAUGAAUUUCAGACACUUAUUCUCCUGCAUUUCAGUAGGAUAAAAGGCACUCUCUGUACUGUUGGGCUUCUUAGGGCAUGACUGUUAUUCUUUUAAACUUUUGUUUUUGUGUUAUCUAAAUUACUCAAGUAACACAUAAAUAUCAACUUCUGGGGAAAACUAUAAGAUUAUAGACAAGUUAAAGUCUUCUUGGAUCCCGACCAUCAAUCCAGGCUCCUUUUUGCCAUCCUCUCCCUUAGUGUCCCCAACCCCCAUCCAGCAACCGUGCUCAGUUUCCUCUGCCUCCUUGGAAAUGUCUCACAUACUCUUACACAGUACCUGCAAGUCAAUAGUAUUAAACGACUAGACAGGAUUGUUUUUAAAAGUAUUUUUCCCCCCGCCUGCAUCGGUAUAAUAUUCUGUGUAUCUUUCUGCAACUUGCCUUUUUUUUUUUUUUUUACAAAUUAGCAUUUCUUGGAGAUCUUUCCACGUUAAUCCAUAUAGAUCUACUUUAUUUGUUUUUAUUGCUUCAUGAUAUUUCGUGGUGUGCCUGUGCUGUGUAGUCACUUAGCUUUUAUCUUAGACAGGCGCAUUUAAUUGUUUUUCCAAUUUUCCACUACUAAAAAUGCCUCUUUAGUGUGUGACUUCUUGCGCACAAGAGUGCUCCUCUAUGUUCAUACUUACAAGUGUGAUUGCUGGGCCACACAACAUGCAUAUUUUACGGUUUAACAGAUAGGUCCGAAUUGUUCUCCAAACUGGGGGCAUCAACUUACAUUCCAACCAGCAAGGUAUGAGGGUUUGAGUUUCUCAGCAUCCUCACCAAAAUUAUCAGACAUUAAAAUGUCUGCCACUUCAAUGGGUGCAAAAUGGUGGGUUUUUUAAUUUUAAUGUACAUUUCUGUUAUUACGAAUGAGAUUAAGCUGCUUGUUAUAUGUUUAUUGGCUAUUGGCAUUUCCUCCCUAUGAUUUGCUUAUUCUAUUGAGUUAUUUGCCUUAUGGAU